GUGGGGAAUAUUGGACAAUGGGCGAAAGCCUGAUCCAGCCAUGCCGCGUGUGUGAAGAAGGUCUUCGGAUUGUAAAGCACUUUAAGUUGGGAGGAAGGGCAGUAAGUUAAUACCUUGCUGUUUUGACGUUACCGACAGAAUAAGCACCGGCUAACUUCGUGCCAGCAGCCGCGGUAAUACGAAGGGUGCAAGCGUUAAUCGGAAUUACUGGGCGUAAAGCGCGCGUAGGUGGUUUUGUAAGUUGGAGGUGAAAUCCCCGGGCUCAACCUGGGAACUACCUGCAAAACUGCAUGACUAGAGUACGGUAGAGGGUAGUGGAAGUUCCUGUGUAGCGGUGAAAUGCGUAGAUAUAGGAAGGAACACCAGUGGCGAAGGCGACUACCUGGACUGAUACUGACACUGAGGUGCGAAAGCGUGGGGAGCAAACAGGAUUAGAAACCCGGGUAGUCC
rnacentral:rRNA from 1 species